UACGUAGGGUGCAAGCGUUGUCCGGAAUUAUUGGGCGUAAAGAGCUCGUAGGCGGCCUGUCGCGUCGGCUGUGAAAACCCGGGGCUCAACCCCGGGCCUGCAGUCGAUACGGGCAGGCUAGAGUCCGGCAGGGGAGACUGGAAUUCCUGGUGUAGCGGUGAAAUGCGCAGAUAUCAGGAGGAACACCGGUGGCGAAGGCGGGUCUCUGGGCCGGAACUGACGCUAAGGAGCGAAAGCGUGGGAGCGAACAGG
rnacentral:rRNA from 1 species